GACCCAGCAUGGUAUAGUGGCUUGAGCAUUGGACUAUGACUCUGAAGACCAGGGUUCAGAUCCCUGCUUGGUCA
rnacentral:tRNA from 1 species